rnacentral:tRNA from 1 species
GGGGUAUAGCUCAGUUGGUAGAGUUCUUGCCUCACAUGCACAAGGCCCUGGGUUCAAUCCCCUGUACCACCG